rnacentral:misc_RNA from 1 species
AGCUUGAAGCAAAGAAAGGAAAGGAGACCAACCAGCAGUAGCAUUUCUCGUGGAGGAAGAUCAGGAAGGGGAAGAGGCAGAGGAGGUCGUUCUGCUGGGCGAACUUUUGGCAGGGGAAGCACUCCUGAUGAUAGAGUGAAGAGCAAUGGCUACCGUGGUAUAUGAUGAUACUAGAGUAUCAAAGGCCAAACUUGCAAAGUAUGUGAUUCUGCAGAUGAGGAUCAAUAAGAAGCAUGGUUACUAGAUAGCCUUUAUAUUUUUGAUGGUAUUGUCUUCUUAUGGAAGGGAUUAUAAUUGCUGGUUUUAUUCCCCCCCCCCCCCAA